AGGAUAGUAGUUAAAUAUAACAUUUGGGUUGCAUUCAAAAAGUAUUGAUUUAUUCAAUCUAUCUU
rnacentral:tRNA from 2 species